rnacentral:misc_RNA from 1 species
UGCAUGUAUUCCUGUCAGAAACACGUACGAAAGAGCAGAGCAAACGUUCGGAAAUUGGAAAAAGUCUAACCCUACAAAAGAAGAAAGAAGAAGAAGGCAGUUGUUAACACCUGAGCUUAGUUCGUACCUUACUCGAACUAAUACGUUACUAAAACAGUAAAUCAUGAUGUAUAAUAGCCAGUAAAGUAUUUUAUUUCUCGAAACGGAGAAGGAGAGAGAGGAUGACAGUAAUCGCGAUUGAAUGGAGGAAUAACUAGAAUCCAACAGAUAUGUGGAAAUUAAGACCUUCAAGACCUCGCGAUCACCAUUCCUUGACAGAACGUUGCUGUGGAAUGUUCAUUUUCAGUGUUGCGUUGAUUCCAGGUCCUUUAUAAAACAGUAUAGUGGCUAUGCAGAAAAAAUAGACCUUAGUAACUAUCACAGCUUGAUAUAUGAGCCUGUGUAUUGUAAGCAAAGCCUUGUAAUGUCACAUAGAUUCUCCUGAAUAGAGUUAAGCACAA